rnacentral:rRNA from 1 species
GAUGAACGCUGGCGGCGUGCCUAAUACAUGCAAGUCGAGCGAACAGACGAGAAGCUUUUGCCUCUCUGGUUGGCGCGUGGCGGGCGAGUGACACAUGCAUCAGCUACUUCUAUUUCGUGGGGAACACCGCGGGAAAACAUACGCUAAUACAGAAUAUGUUUAACGGCUGAUGUCCCGAGAGAUACAGACCUUUCUCGUUUCACUUAGAUGAUGCCGCGCUGGAUUAGCGGGUUGGUAAGGGAACGCCUUACCAAGGAAACGAUGCGUAGCCGACCUGAGAGGAUGAUCAGCCACACUGGAACUGAGACACGGUCCAGACUCCUACGGGAGGCAGCAGUAGGGAAUCUUCCGCAAUGGGCGAAAGCCUGACGGAGCAAUGCCGCGUGAGUGAAGAAGGUCUUCGGAUCGUAAAGCUCUGUUGUUAGGGAAGAAAAAAUGCGUGAGUAAAUAAGCAAGUCUUGACGGUACCUAAUCAGAAAGCCACGGCUAACUACGUG